UUAAUUGAAACCAAAUAGAGGUAUAUCACUGUUAAUGAUAUUAUUGAAUUACAAUAUUCCAAUUAAA
rnacentral:tRNA from 2 species